AGAUAUUUUCAUUCUUUCGUUUCUCUCUCUCCUUCUUCCAGCGUUUUCUCUUGUUUCGCUGCUCGAAGCGUCAUCGUUCAAUGGCGGAUUCCUCUUUCAUGGAACGAAUUUCCGUUGUUUAUCUUUUCCAUCAUUCAACGGGACCGAGUUUCCAUCUUCCUGAUCCGUUUAAUCGCUGAGAAACGCCGAUAAAAUAUAGGUUACUUUUGUGCUUGCUUUUCAAUGGAGAAUUGCGUUUGGAUCUCAGCAGGCGAGAAACACAGAUCUCCAGGAAAUGCAUCAAUGCAAUUGUAGUCUGCUGAAGCAAUCAAAACAUUCUGAUGUCAAUAGUUUUUUAUCAUGAUCAAUGUUCUACUAGCUAAAGGAUCAAAAUCAUACCCAUGUUUUGUAGUUCCUGAGGGUGCUUUGUAGUGUUGUUGCUGUGGCUGGCUGAGCUGGAGAUUCACAGGCACGUCGGAAUCGUCUCCUUCUCCUAUGCCUAGACCAUCUGUGAGAACAAAAUUUCUGUUUGUUCCAUUCUUAUCUUUUGUUCCAUAGACCUGAGUUAGUGAAAGUCUCUUUUGGAGAUCAGAAUAUAACACCUAACAAGGUUGCCUCGUUUAAAAAGUUCAAAAUUUAGUUUCAGAUUAUUUUAGUUUCUAUUGCCAUACAAACCAAUAUGUUCUUUUUCAAUUCCGUAUUUUCUUGACAAAUUAGGUUUACCUUCCUAUAUAGUUCCACAUUUUCUUGGUGUAUGAUGUCUCCCUGCAGAAUAUAAAUACAUAUUUUAAUUAUAAUGAAUAACUAAGUUCUUAAUUUCUCUGUUUCAGGACUGACCUUUCGAUUUAGUUCUUGUAUUUCAUCCAUAAAAAGUUGCUCCUGUAUAAGUCAAUUGGUUGUUACUUGGAGAGGUAAAAUAUAUCUAAAACAUUCCUAAAGUCUUAUCAGUAUCCUUUGAAACAAAAAUCUUAUUCCUUAAGAUUUUCUUUCUAAACUCUUUGAAGCAAUGAAGUAAACCUCAACAAUUGUCUUGCUCAUUACAUUAUUAGACUGUUUGAAUAUGGAUAAGUAUUGGCCACAAUAUAAUAUGGCUGUGUGGCUGAAAAUUUUGUUGCACAUCUUCCCAACGGUGUCUUUGUCACUAUGCAAAAUCUGAACCAACUAGGUUGUGCACAAUUCUAGCCAUCUUCACCUGUGUUAUCUUUCUAGCAGGUUUCAUUUAGUCUUUUUAUCUUCCGAGUCAUUUUAUUAAGUUGCCUUUUCAACUACAGUUUCUGGAGAACACAUUUUAUAUUUUGUUUUAUUAAGGUGGUUGUGAGUUAGAAGGAAUCUCCUUUAUACCAAUUAGAAUAUUAGUCAACUGUAGUUAUGAUAAUAUCUGUUUAAUAGCUUUAUAGUUAGUCCUUGAUUAGCUCCUCUACUUAAUGCACUCAUAGCAUAACCUAAACACAUCAUUUUUCCCAAAACACUUUGUUUCAAUAAGAACAAAUGUUUCAAACUGAUAAUCAACGCACUUGAAUCAUUUUAUUUUCUUAGUUUCCAAUUAAUUGUUAUAAUUUAAUUCAAUUUUUAAGAAAGCACCAUUUUGCAUCAUGCAUGGUAACCAGAUUAACAUGCUAGAAUUCGGGUUGAGCCCGACUCAACUAUACAAAACUAACUUGCAAAAUAAGAGAUGUCCAUCCACCACUUAUAAACACUUUUUAGGUUAAUCACAUCCAAUGUAGGACUCCCAGCACACACACCCUCAUAUUCAUGAUUGGACAUCUAGAGUGUGCCCCGAUUAGAUUAGGCUCAAAUACAAUAGUAUAGUUCAACUCGAAAUCUAAGUAAAUCUUAUGAAACUGUCUUUUAUAUGGUGUAGAAAGUCCCGUCACUUCUCGUUAACACUUUUUUAAGCUCAUAUCACAUCUAGUAUAGUACUCUAAACUACAUAACAUAAUUUAUUGCAUUGUGUUGAUAGCCUAUGUAGUAUUGUGUAUUCUGUGUUGGUAUCAGACAUUUUUGGUAACUGUAAUGGACCAAUUUUCUGAAAAGUUAAAAGUUAUUAGGGAUACAUUAGGUUUUAUGUCUCUGCUAGAAUAUCUAGAAAAAAAAUCUGAGAAAUGGUGAGAAGUGGUUUUCAUAUAUUUCAUUGUAUGCAUUAAUUGUUUCACUAUUGUGUUGUAGUUGCUACCUUGUGAUGGUGUUUUUUGAACCCUAGCCACUAUCACUUACUCCAUCCAAUCUUAAUCACUUUAUGGAGUGAAUACUUAGACUUAUGAUUCAAGUAAUUAGUCUCAGUAGCCUGCUUGUUUUGCAUCUCUAGUGGGUCCAUAAACGAUUAUGACUAUAACGAGGGAACUUCAUUAGAGAAGAAUGAUGCCUGUGAGGCAUUUGAUUGUAAGGCCUCCUUAAUUUUGAUUUGGAACACAACGAUUCCUGAGAUGAGAACAAACUAUAUGCCCUUUAUUCUUGGCAAAUUUGCUACAAUUUUCUCCAGACAUUCUCCCAAGACAACCAUUUUUAACACCAAGUACAUACUAUCAAUUACAAAUUAACCUAUGGAUUGAGUUGGAUAAAUAUAAAAAUUUGAAAAUAGAAUGUAACAAGAAUGGUUUCACAUUAAACAAGGUUGUUAAAAGGGUUUGAUCUCUGUUAAAAAAAAAAAAAAGACUUGAUCAUUGAGUUUUUCUUUGGUUUAAAUUUGGCGCAGACACUGUUCUGGUUCUACAAUCUUUGAUCGAAGGAAAGUCAUAAAUAAAGAACUUGUGUUCUUAACCAUUUAAUGCAUUUGGCACCAUCCUUGGGGAUUUAUGUAUUAUUUACCCUGGUAGUGGUUCUACUAAUCACAUGAUCUUCUAUUCCCUACAUUUAUCUUCUUUAUAAACCCUUCUUUAAUAAACAUUCAUAUAUAUAUAACUAUAUCUGUUGAAUUCCAUCUCUUCUUACACUUAAAUAAUGUGUUCCUUGUUCUCAAAAUUUCCAAUAAUCGACUGUAUUUUGACAGGCAUACCAAUUAAGUAUGCAAUAACGUUUCUCUAUUCUCAUUGUGUCUUUUAGGAUUUUGUUUGGGAACCCGAUUGGAGUUUCUAAGGAACAGGGAAAGUUGCAUUACCUCUUUGGUAUGGGCUGAAUGUUGCCUCGCUUGUAAGUGACUACAUCAUGUAAUCAUUCUAUCAGUACCUUAUUUCUCAAAUUUUCCUUCAAUACAAAAUCAUCUUGAGUAUUCUCCGUUUUCUUCGCUCAAAUCUACACUUUCAUCAGGUAUUCCUUAGUCAAGUUUUAAAAUUGUCAAAUUGGUGAGUUUUCUUAACAUUAUUAUGUAACUUUUUUCUCUUAGCUCUUCCACUCAUCAUUUCCUAUUAUUUAUAUACAUAACCUACCUUACUAAUCCAAACUUAACCCCUCACUCUAACUCCCUCAACUAAUAAACUUUAUUAGACUUACAAUAGUUUGAUGUAAAAAAUGUUGUCCUGGAGCUCCGAAAAUUGUAUGUGAGAUUUCCGUUGGAUACCUCUAGUGGAAAGAAUAAUGCUAGCAACACACUCUUUAACAAACACACUUCAACACACUCUCUUUUAUUGGUUGAAAUUCACACGGACCCCAUAAAAAAAUGUGGACCCAUAUAACUUUUAUGGGACCCAUAUAAAUUUUAACCAAUAGAAGAGAGUGUGUUAGAGUGUGUUGCUAGCACUCCUCCUAGUGGAAAUAGCAGGGUUUACAUCUGAUUGGAUUGGGAGGUUUACAAAAAAUUACAGUUUCUUUGGGAUAUAAGCGAAGUUAACACGAUGACACCCUCAUCAGCUUUUCUUUAUAAACUGCCUAGGAGCUAAACUAACAGGUUUACAUAUGUAGUUAAAUCAUGCUUAAACCAACUCCAACAUAUGUUAAACAAACUAACAGUUUUCAAUUUUCUAAACAAUACCAUGACAUGCUUGUCAAACCAGAUUACAAAUUCCAAACCAAAAUACCAAACCAAAUACCAGAUACCAAUCUAGAUUAUAUACCAAAACAGAUUAAUAUAUAUACCAAUAUCAAAAACUCAUUAAUUAAUCUAUAGACUCUUCAAGGAAAGUUACAACCAGCAAUACAUAGAAAGAUGUAUCUUUGAGGAAAUAUGUCCUGGAUUUUUGCAGAAAGAUGCUCAGGCAUAAGUUUACCGGUUUACCUUUACCGGUUUCCCAUUUAGCAGAAUGAUAGGAUGGAAAAUAAUGAAGAGUCCAUGAUUGGUAAAUUCUAUAAGGAAAAUAAUAUACUUGGUGUAUACAAAACUUGAUUUAGUAUAUGUUGUAUUAUUGCAAGCCAGUUCAUGCUUGACUACUGGUAAGAUAUUUGCAAAGUCUUACAGGCCAUGCUUGACCGGGAAAGAGAUUUGCAGUGUGAAUCAGAUUCACCAGCAUCUAAGAAUCAUGCUUGGAAGUGGAUUAGUACGAAAGGGUGAAAAUUUGACCACGGAGGAGUAAACAAAUGCUUAUACUGCAGGUUGAGUACAAAUGCAAAAUUUGACCAUAGAGAUGUAAACAAAUGCUUAUUAUGCAGGUUUAGUUGCAAAUACAGGGUGACACUUAAGGUCAAAAUCUAGUAACAUCACAUGAAGGUAAGAGAUAAAAUGUAGUUGUUUGGUCAGGUGUAGGGGCCAAAUUUUGAGCUAUAGCGUAAGACGUUAUUCUGGAUUGAGAUUAUAUUGCAUGACUAUAAACUAAUUGUAUUAUGAAUAAAUAAUUGAGAAAACAAGAAUUAGUGUAUAAAUUAGUGGCAAAAAAACAUAUAUCAAAAGGGUGUACCGGUGACUUUCUUGCAAA